rnacentral:rRNA from 1 species
AUUGAACGCUGGCGGCAUGCUUUACACAUGCCAGUCGAACGGCAGCGCGGGCUUCGGCCUGGCGGCGAGUGGCGAACGGGUGAGUAAUGCAUCGGAACGUGCCCAGUAGUGGGGGAUAGCCCGGCGAAAGCCGGAUUAAUACCGCAUACGACCUGAGGGUGAAAGCGGGGGACCGAAAGGCCUCGCGCUAUUGGAGCGGCCGAUGUCGGAUUAGCUAGUUGGUGGGGUAAAGGCUUACCAAGGCGACGAUCCGUAGCUGGUCUGAGAGGACGACCAGCCACACUGGGACUGAGACACGGCCUGGACCCCUACGGGAGGCAGCAGUGGGGAAUUUUGGACAAUGGGGGCAGCUCUGAUCCAGCCAUGCCGCGUGCGGGAAGAAGGCCGGCGGGGUGGAAACCGCUUUUGUUGGGGAAGAAAGCAUCUGGGCUAAUACCCCGGGGGGAUGACGGUACGGGAAGAAUAAGCACCGGCUAACGACG